UCCUAAUAUCAGAGGCAGGGAUGGAAAGAUCUAGACUGUGUUUUUGCUAACACCCGUAAAGCACAGUAAUAACUAGCGAGCCAUGCACCAGAACAGGUAGCUUUUUAACUAAGGUACUACAUGACCUUCUAAGGUAGUUAGGGUAGUUUGCAGUAACCCAUACUUAACAAGUGUGACUGGAAUAUAGUACGAUUGAGUAGUCAUUUACUAACCAUUUGUAACACUUAAGGCUAUAUUACAGCUUCAUCAUUUAAAUCCAUUAUGGAAUUAAAGCAGUAUAUUUUAUCCUAACAGUUUUAUUUAUUUUUAUUUAACUUCUAAUUUAAGUUUUUUAGCUCAGAUAUCUCCCCUUGCUAUUUAAGUUUUUUAGGAACUUCACUAUAAACAUAUGUCAAUCACAAAGGCGAUUAAGCGGUUACAUAAAUAAUGCUUCUUUUAUUGGAUGGGCUUAUAACGUGCAAACUAUUCAGAGGAAAAGGAGCAAGAUUAAGAGAUAAUGGGCAGACUUAUUGUCUUUUAACUUAAAUCUCCUAAUUGCAUGAUGGUAACAAACAAAAAGUUAAAUGCAGGCUCAAUAGCCACUAUUAAUUGUUGAAAUCUCUCAGAUGCGUGUGUUUAAUUUCACUUCUGGAAAUAAAAUAUAGAUACUAAUAACUUAAAUUUGUUUAUUAUAAGCUUUAUUAGAAUUAAAGAUAGAAAAUUUUCUUUUAUUUGCAGUUUAAUGAUGUAAGUUUUUAUGGCAAUUUAAAAUAGUUUACAAUAAUUACUUACACAUAUAUACAUAUACUUCAUUAUAUUAUCCUUUUAGACAUAUGUAAGGAAUAAAGCUAAUAAUUUAUGAAGUUUAACAAUCAGAAAAUGCUCUUUAAAAUAAUUUCCUUAAGUGUGUUAGUGUAGGUAUAAAGCUCAUAAUUACCAAAAUACUUACAGUAAAAGCAUGAACCCAAGUCAUUAAAUAAAAACAAGAGCACAUUUGUAAAAAAAGUGCACAAAAAUCAUGCUCUUGUACAUACUUUCCAGAAGGGCGUAUAUGUACUUUUAGGCACUGUCUUCUCUUCAGGUUUCUGUACCUACAAUGUAGAGCAGGACUUGGGAUGUCCAGGUGCUACUGCAGGAAGAUGACUAAGGCAACCACGUGCAGAAAGCUUGUGUAAUGCGCAGAGAAAUGUAAGAGAGCAUUCACAAGUAAAGGUUUGCAGUGAUAGUUGUGUCUUCAUGUGAU